rnacentral:rRNA from 1 species
UUGAACGCUGGCGGCAGGCCUAACACAUGCAAGUCGAACAGUAACAGGAAGAAGCUUGCUUCUUUGCUGACGAGUGGCGGACGGGUGAGUAAUGUCUGGGAAACUGCCUGAUGGAGGGGGAUAACUACUGGAAACGGUAGCUAAUACCGCAUAACGUCGCAAGACCAAAGAGGGGGACCUUCGGGCCUCUUGCCAUCGGAUGUGCCCAGAUGGGAUUAGCUAGUAGGUGGGGUAACGGCUCACCUAGGCGACGAUCCCUAGCUGGUCUGAGAGGAUGACCAGCCACACUGGAACUGAGACACGGUCCAGACUCCUACGGGAGGCAGCAGUGGGGAAUAUUGCACAAUGGGCGCAAGCCUGAUGCAGCCAUGCCGCGUGUAUGAAGAAGGCCUUCGGGUUGUAAAGUACUUUCAGCGGGGAGGAAGGGAGUAAAGUUAAUACCUUUACUCAUUGACGUUACCCGCAGAAGAAGCACCGGCUAACUCCGUG